GCCUGGAUAGCUCAGUUGGUUAGAGUUUGGUCCUGAGAACGCCAAGGUUGCAGGUUCGAUCCCCAUGUGGGACA
rnacentral:tRNA from 1 species